rnacentral:rRNA from 1 species
CCGCCCAGAACAUACUCAAUCUGAUUUUUCAAGCUAAGCAGGGUCAGACCUAGUUAAUACAGUACUUGGAUGGGAGACCACCAGAAAAUACUAGGG